GGUUUCAGAGCAGUAGUGGGGAGAGGCCAGAUUGAGGCGAGUAAGCCCAGGGGUGGCAGAGGUGACUGAGGUUUUGGAAGUUGGGUGGGGAAGAGCAGACGCUUGUGGAAGGAGCCGGAAGAGAAUUAACAGAGUCGUGUGUAGACACGGGGAAGGGGGUGGAGCCUGGAGAAGAGAUGUUAAAGAGGAAAAGCAAAGAGUUGAGGGCCGGUGAUCCCGGGGAGCGAGCAGCGCCUGGCAGAGAGGUUGGCCUGGGCGGAGAGGACAAUACCACGUUUCUGCAGAGUCUGCAACAGUGGACAAGAGAGAGUCAUUCUCCCAGGACUACCCGUGACAUGCGUCAGCUCCAUCCUCCCUCCUGACCGCAUCUUACUUCCUCUAUGCUCUUGGGGACGAGGAAGGCGGUGAUCCACGGCUUCUCCUAAGAGCCAAGAAUCAUCUUUGCUAGAAGCCACAGCAACUUUUUCCUUGAGUUUCGUUGGCAGUAGUGUUGGCUCUUCUUAAAUAGUCACUGGCAGUGGGGAUAGAACCAGCAUUAGCUUAGAGCAGUGGUCCUCACACACGCUACCUCAGCAUCCCCUGGACCACUUGUUAAAAUAGAAUGCGGGAUUCCACCCAGAGUGUCUGAUGACACGGGUCUGGGAUGGCAUUUAUCACAGGUUCCCAAGUGCUGCUGCUGUGGAUCCUGCAACUCUGCUUGAGACCUGCUGAAUCAGACUUGUCUCUAGGAUGGUGAUGGUGAGAGGUCAAUCAAAACGCUGUCCAUGGACUACCACCAUCUCCACUGUGCACACGAGGAAACUGAGGCUGAGAGAUUUCAAGCAUCCAAGUUCACAUUCCCAGAAGGUGGCCAGGCUGGAUUCAAAGCCAAGAAGUCUGAUGAGAAAAUCAAUGUGCUUCACCACCAAGCAGGAGGCUGCUCUGACUGCAGAGAACUUCAGCAGGAGGGCAUGAGAUGGGCCAGACAAGUUGUAAUUAUGUUAUGGAGGUUUUUAUAAACCAGACAAAGGAGCUUAACCUGAAACUGUGGGCCUAGUGCUAGGGAGCCAUAGUAAGUUCUUUAGGGGAAGUGCUUUAUGAAAUUGUUCUGGAGAUAAAUUCCACUCCUGGGCAUAUAUUUGGAGAAAACUGUAAUUCAAAAAGAUACACCCCCCCAAUAUUUACGCUAUUUACAAUAGCCAAGACAUGGAAGCAACCUAAAUGUCUCUUGACAGAUGAAUGGAUAAAGAAGAUGUGGUACAUAUCUGCAAUGGCAUAUUACUCAGCCAUAAAAAAGAAUGAAAUAAUGCCAUUUGCUGCAGCAUGGAUGGAUCUAGAGAUUUUCAUACUAAGUGAAUUAAGUCAGACAAAUAUUAUAUGAUACUGCUUAUAUGUGGACUCUAAAAAUGAUACAAAUGAACCUAUGUACAAAAAAAUAGAACUACAGACAUAGAGAACAAAUUUAUGGUUACAAAAGUGGAAAGGGUGUGGAGAGUAAAUUAGGAGUUUGGGAUUAACAGGUACACACUACUGUAUAUAAAAUAGAUAACCAAGGACCUACUUUAUAGCACAGGGAACUCUACUCAGUAUUUUGUAAUAACUUGAAAAGAAUCUGAAAAAUAUAUAUGUAUAACAAUCAUUUUGCUGUAUAUCUGAAGCCAACACAACAUUAUAGUGAACCAAACUUCAAUU
ensembl:lncRNA